rnacentral:lncRNA from 1 species
UCAGCUAUCAUAUAUCUAUAAGGUGGAGUCUCACUCUGUCACCCAGGCUGGAAUGCAGUGACACAGUCUCGGCUCACUGCAACCUCUGCCUCCCAGGUUCAAACAAUUCUCCUGCCUCAGCCUCCUGAGUAGCAGGGAUUACAGGUGUCCACCAUCACGGCCAGCUGAUUUUUGUGUUUUUAAUAGAAACAGGGUUUCGCCAUGUUGGCCAGGCUGGUCUCGAACUCCUGACCUUAAGUGAUUCACCCACCUCAGCCUCCCAAAGUGCUGGGAUUACAGGCAUGAGCCAGCACACCCGGCCAAGGCUAUAUUUUCAUGUGUACUAGAAUGAAAGCUAUGUGACAAUGGGUUCUCCUGUGUGUGCUUUUUAAAUUCUGUAUCCUCAGUGCCUAGAGCAGAAUCUGACACAAAAAUUUAUGUCAAGUAUAUCAGUAAUAUAUAUGUAAUUUAUGUAUAUGUAUAAAUAUAUGUGACUAUGUAUGUAUGCAUUAAUGUACAUGGAGAAACAUAUAUAUAUAUGUGUAUGCAUGCAUCUACACACUGCAAAACACGCUAAAAAUGUUGAUUUAAUCAUUGGAUGUGAAAGUGUGAGUAACUUUAUUUUUUUAUAUACUUUUCCUAAAUUUGCAAUUUUUCUGAUUAUGUAAUUAUUAAUUUUAAAAAUGGAUAAAAGUAAUGCUAGUAAGAACAUAAAUAUUAAGAAAA